GCCGAACGCUUUCUUCUUUCCUAAUACAUGCAAGUAGAACGCACAGUUUAUACCGUAGCUUGCUACACCAUAGACUGUGAGUUGCGAACGGGUGAGUAACGCGUAGGUAACCUGCCUGGUAGCGGGGGAUAACUAUUGGAAACGAUAGCUAAUACCGCAUAAUAUUAAUUAUUGCAUGAUAAUUAAUUGAAAGGUGCAAUUGCACCACUACCAGAUGGACCUGCGUUGUAUUAGCUAGUAGGUGAGGUAACGGCUCACCUAGGCGACGAUACAUAGCCGACCUGAGAGGGUGAUCGGCCACACUGGGACUGAGACACGGCCCAGACUCCUACGGGAGGCAGCAGUAGGGAAUCUUCGGCAAUGGACGAAAGUCUGACCGAGCAACGCCGCGUGAGUGAAGAAGGUUUUCGGAUCGUAAAGCUCUGUUGUAAGAGAAGAACGGGUGUGAGAGUGGAAAGUUCACACUGUGACGGUAUCUUACCAGAAAGGGACGGCUAACUACGUG
rnacentral:rRNA from 1 species